UACGUAGGCAGCGAGCGUUGUUCGGAAUUACUGGGCGUAAAGAGUGUGUAGGCGGUGCUCUAAGUUCGGUGUGAAAUCUCCUGGCUUAACUGGGAGGGUGCGCCGGAAACUGGGGUGCUCGAGCGUGGGAGAGGAAAGCGGAAUUCCUGGUGUAGCAGUGAAAUGCGUAGAUAUCAGGAGGAACACCUGUGGUGUAGACAGCUUUCUGGACCAUUGCUGACGCUGAGACACGAAAGCGUGGGUAGCAAACAGG
rnacentral:rRNA from 1 species